GACGAACGCUGGCGGCGUGCCUAAUACAUGCAAGUAGAACGCUGAAGGAGGAGCUUGCUUCUCUGGAUGAGUUGCGAACGGGUGAGUAACGCGUAGGUAACCUGCCUGGUAGCGGGGGAUAACUCUUGGAAACGAUAGCUAAUACCGCAUAAUAGUAGAUGUUGCAUGACAUUUGCUUAAAAGGUGCAAUUGCAUCACUACCAGAUGGACCUGCGUUGUAUUAGCUAGUUGGUGGGGUAACGGCUCACCAAGGCGACGAUACAUAGCCGACCUGAGAGGGUGAUCGGCCACACUGGGACUGAGACACGGCCCAGACUCCUACGGGAGGAAGCAGUAGGGAAUCGUCGGCAAUGGACGGAAGUCUGACCGAGCAACGCCGCGUGAGUGAAGAAGGUUUUCGGAUCGUAAAGCUCUGUUGUAAGAGAAGAACGAGUGUGAGAGUGGAAAGUUCACACUGUGACGGUAUCUUACCAGAAAGGGACGGCUAACUACGUG
rnacentral:rRNA from 1 species